AUGUUGUUAAUUCCUGGUUUGCCUCACCGUCCCCUAUUUUAUUUCUCAGCUCUCCUAUCAUCUGUGUAGCUAAUUCUCCACAUUAAAUUCCAUCUGUUUAAAAUACUUGGAGUGGUUUCUGAUUUUCCUGAAUGGACGUUGAUUGAGACAAUUGAGACAAUUUUUCACUUCCACUGCCAAGCACCUGGAAGAAUUUAAAAUGAAUUCCCUGGAAGAUUCCUGGAGACGGGUGGCAGGCAAAGAAGCUGUACAUGUUUAACUGUGAGGAAAGGCCCUGGCUCCUACACAACACCCACGCUGACAAGAAUGAACACGGAUUCCAUCCAGUCUGUCCUCCCGGACUCCAGUUCGUGCUUAUGGGUUCCAGCUUGAUCUUGCUCACCCCGACUUUACAUUCAUCUUCUCUUCCUGACGUCUGUCCUGUGGGCUUCAAGCUUCAGCAUGAGACACAAAGAUGGCAGCCUUGCAGCAGCUGCUUAAC
rnacentral:lncRNA from 1 species